rnacentral:rRNA from 1 species
ACGUAGGUGGCGAGCGUUAUUCGGAAUCAUUGGGCGUAAAGAGGGAGCAGGCGGCAGUGCAGGUCUGCGGUGAAAGCCCGAAGCUAAACUUCGGUAAGCCGUGGAAACCGCACAGCUAGAGUGCAGUAGAGGAUCGUGGAAUUCCAUGUGUAGCGGUGAAAUGCGUAGAUAUAUGGAGGAACACCAGUGGCGAAGGCGACGAUCUGGGCUGUAACUGACGCUCAGUCCCGAAAGCGUGGGGAGCAAAUAGGAUUAGAUAUCCUAGUAGUCCACGCAGUAAA